rnacentral:rRNA from 1 species
UACAGAGGUCUCAAGCGUUGUUCGGAUUCAUUGGGCGUAAAGGGUGCGUAGGUGGCGCCGUAAGUCAGGUGUGAAAUUUCGGAGCUUAACUCCGAAACUGCAUUUUGAUACUGCGGUGCUUUGAGGACUGGAGAGGGAGACUUGGAAUUUACGGUGUAGCAGUGAAAUGCGUAGAGAAUCGUAAGGAAGACCAGUGGCGAAGGCGGGUCUCUGGA